rfam:Pedobacter luteus strain DSM 22385 genome assembly, contig: LY14DRAFT_scaffold00001.1
CCUGCAAGCUGAUCUAUCGCCCCGAUUCAUCGGGGAGGAAAGUCCGGGCAACACAGGGCAUUCUGCUUCCUAACAGGAAGGAUCUGCUUUGGCAGAGACGGAAAGUGCUACAGAAAACAAACUACCCGCCCUAGGCGGGAAAAGGUGAAAACGUGAGGUAAGAGCUCACGGUCUUCCCGGGCGACCGGGAUUACGGUAAACCCCAGGAGUUGAAAGACCAAAUAGGUUCCGGAAGUGAGGCUGCCCGCUUACAAUGCCGCAUCUGCGGCAUAUCCGGAAUGGGUAGGUCGUUAGACCUCGCAAGCGAUUGCGCGGCUAGAUAAAUGAUAGGUACCGCCGUUGGCGGACACAGAACCCGGCUUACAGGCUUGCUUUUUUA